CUACGGGUGGCAGCAGUGGGGAAUAUUGGACAAUGGGCGAAAGCCUGAUCCAGCCAUGCCGCGUGUGUGAAGAAGGCCUUCGGGUUGUAAAGCACUUUCAGUGGGGAAGAAAGCCUUGGGGCUAAUACCCUCGAGGAAGGACAUCACCCACAGAAGAAGCACCGGCUAACUCCGUGCCAGCAGCCACGGUAAUACGGAGGGUGCGAGCGUUAAUCGGAAUUACUGGGCGUAAAGCGCGCGUAGGCGGUCUGAUAAGCCGGUUGUGAAAGCCCCGGGCUCAACCUGGGAACGGCAUCCGGAACUGUCAGGCUAGAGUGCAGGAGAGGAAGGUAGAAUUCCCGGUGUAGCGGUGAAAUGCGUAGAGAUCGGGAGGAAUACCAGUGGCGAAGGCGGCCUUCUGGACUGACACUGACGCUGAGGUGCGAAAGCGUGGGUAGCAAACAGGAUUAGAUACCCCGGUAGUC
rnacentral:rRNA from 1 species